UUGCUUUGUCUUUGGUACUUGUGCAGGUUUCACUCCUUUUUGAGCCGAUCUUUAACAACUCAUCACUUUAUCAAUCGAACAUACAAUCAAGCACAACUUAUGAGUCUUUUGUGACUAUAUUUUAAUAAUUUAUAAUCAAAGUGUAAGUAAGAAAGAGCAUGAAUCACGAAAAAAUCCCUAGUUAUCAGUGAUCUUUUUCUUCAACCCCACGAUUCCACUAUCAUAUUUUUCUUUUAGUCGUUGGACCAAGCACGCUCGAUCCUCUGCAUUCUUAGACAAUUUUGUCCAAGCCUUUGCCAGUUCACCUUGUGCCUUGUUCAGAUCAAAACCAUAUUCACCCACCUUCCGCUUAUGGUUACCUAUAAGCUUUUCAUCUUUUGCACUUCUGGUGGGGUUUUCGGCCGCUAUUUUAAUCUCCUGAAUUUGUGCUCGAAGGGCGUCAUUUUUUUGGCCAGCUUUUUCUUUUCGCCCUCAUCCGCAUCGGCUUGCAAACCAUUCUCAAAUUGAAGAUGCUUGAUUUGCUUUUCCAGCUUGCUUAUGGUAGCCCUAUACUCAUUUUCUUUGGCUCACCAAUCACAUUGUUCCUGUGAUGCCUCGACAAAUUCUUGAAGAUGGGGUCUUUUGGAUGGUCUUCUAAACUCAACACUUCCUUUGUACCAUGUGAGUUAACAGGGCGAGACUUCACCCUUGGAUAGAUCACGCACUUGAGUGUUUGUUGUCAAGUAUUGGCACUCACUGCAAAUCUGGCGAACUACUGCUACAUGAAACUGACCAUUAGGACGGAUCUUGACCACAUGGCGGCUAAGGUCUUCAUCCUUGGGAAUUAUUUGACAUCUUCCUAAUUGUCUCAAAACCUGGUAUAGGUCAUAAGGCAAGACACUUCCGAGACCCAUCAGGAGGAAC
rnacentral:lncRNA from 1 species